GUCUGUCCCUCCUUUGUUCCAGACUCAGGAAAAGCAUGUCUGCUUGAAAAGCAGCUUGCCUCAAGCUGAAUUCAUUGUUACUUCACUUAUCUUCAAGUCAGUAAGAGACAGUUUUACAAAUCUCUAACAUAAGGCAUGAAAUGGAAUUCAACAACAACAUGGAUUUUCUAGUUUUUAUUUGGCUCUGGCCAAAUGAAUGGAAGCUGGCUCAAGACAGGGUACAGCUACUCCAGUAAUGAAGAAAGAAGGAUGUGUAGUAGCACGUCUUCCUCACUCCAGGUAUGGAACAGCUCUUAAUACAUGCAGUGCUAAUGAGAGGCACUACAGUCCCAUUACUGCUUUCCAGGAAGUCUCCAUACUUCUGCGAAGGACAUAAAGCCACCAGGACUGAAUCGACAUGAACAAGUAAUAAAAUCCUCUGGGGGGAAAGAAAAAAUAAAUAUAUUUCAGCUUAAAUUUACCUCUGGAAUUA